rnacentral:lncRNA from 1 species
UGGGAAUGAAGCAGCAGACACACAAGAUGAUCUUGCUGAAGCGAAUUCGGUAUCAACCUCAUUGUUUCCAAAUGAAAAUCUUCGAGGUAAGUUUAUAUGUUUCCUUCCUUCAUCUACCAAGUUCCAAUGGGGACUUUCACCACCGAACUCCAUGAAAAUGUUGCAAUAUUUGUAAAUGGUAAUGAAAAUAUAACUUGGUUGCUUUAUUGAGGAAAAUCACUUUGACAUGACGUCGAGGCAUUUAAUCAGGAGUUUAUAUGCUGAUUUUUAGUAGGUAGGAAACCUUUAAGAUAAGUCAUGAUACAGCUACCUUUUACAAUUCACAGUGUGCAAUGUAGAGAAAUGGGAUGUGUCAUGUGUGUACUGACUUUUAUAUCAGUAUCUUAUGCCAGUAAUAUUCUUAUGACAUGGGCAGAGUGCAUUAGGCACUGUAAGAAUUGGAAUAGCCAACCCAAGUGGUCCUGAAAACUUAAUUGCUAUAACUUUUAUAGUUAAUCACAUUUCCUGUUUGUUGUUUCUUGAUUUAUUGGCAUUAACAGAAGGUUGGUGAUAGCAAUUACUGCAUUGCAUGCUGGCGAAGAGCUGUAAGUACCAUUCUGAAUAAUGUUUUGACCUACCAUAGUUGGGCACAUAAGUAUUACAUGCUUUGUUGUUCUAAGUUAGUCAGAUCGUUUUGAGUUUAAAUGUGAAUUGUUCUAUUUGAAUUGGAAGGAUUUUUGUACCACGAGAAUAUGCGGUUUACUGCUGAAUCACUGAUAAUGGGGGAGUUGGAAGAUGCUAAUUUGAGACCGUUACUUCGAAGUUGUUGAAUUUCGAAAUUUGAUGGAAGCAGGUCUAGAAUAGUUUGUACUUGGAGUCG